rnacentral:piRNA from 1 species
UGCCUCAUUCACCAACGGAAG